rnacentral:rRNA from 1 species
UGAAAGGGAUACUUCUUCGGACAAUAUACAAGGUGCUGCAUGGUUGUCGUCAGCUCGUGCCGUGAGGUGUCGGGUUAAGUCCCAUAACGAGCGCAACCCCUAUCAUUAGUUGCCAUCAGGUCAAGCUGGGGACUCUAAUGAAACUGCCUACGCAAGUAGUGAGGAAGGUGGGGAUGACGUCAAAUCAGCACGGCCCUUACGUCCGGGGCUACACACGUGCUACAAUGGCCGGUACAAAGGGUUGCGAAGCCGUGAGGUGGAGCGAAUCUCAAAAAGCCGGCCUCAGUUCGGAUUGGAGGCUGCAACUCGCCUCCAUGAAGUCGGAAUCGCUAGUAACCGCAGAUCAGCUACGUUGCGGUGAAUACGUUCCCGGGCCUU